rnacentral:lncRNA from 1 species
CGUAGAAACUUGGACGGAGUCUGAUUACUGUAGAAAUCUUGUUGUCGGAGAAGCUCGGAUGCUAACGAAGUCCGAAAGAAGUUCAGAAUAGGGUCAUCCGCGGUCGGAAGAAAUCCGGAAGGGAUUCAGAGAAUAGUUGAUUACUAUAGAAGGUCGGCUGGCAGUGAGGCCCAGAGAGCUUUUUGGGGCAGUCCGGUAGAUGAAUGCAGAAGUUCAUUAUCGGAGAAGUCCGGAUGGUCGAGGGGGUUCGGAGAGAUGCCACACACAAGG